AAGGAGUCUAACAUCUAUGCGAGUGUUUGGGUGUCAAGCCCGAGCGCGCAAUGAAAGUGAACGGAGGUGGGAACCCUUUGGGUGCACCAUCGACCGAUCCUGAUGUCUUCGGAUGGAUUUGAGUAAGAGCAUAGCUGUUGGGCCCCGAAGGAUGGUGAACUAUGCUUGAAUAGGGUGAAGCCAGAGGAAACUCUGGUGGAGGCUCGCAGCGGUUCUGACGUGCAAAUCGAUCGUCAAAUUUGGGCAUAGGGGCGAAAGACUAAUCGAACCAUCUAGUAGCUGGUUCCUGC
rnacentral:misc_RNA from 1 species